rnacentral:rRNA from 1 species
UACAGAGGUCCCGAGCGUUGUUCGGAUUCACUGGGCGUAAAGCGUGCGCAGGCGGUUUUGUAAGCCAGAUGUGAAAUCCCCGGGCUUAACCUGGGAAUGGCAUUUGGGACUGCAAGGCUGGAGUGUGGCAGAGGAGACUGGAAUUCCCGGUGUAGCAGUGAAAUGCGUAGAUAUCGGGAGGAAUACCGAUGGCGAAGGCAGGUCUCUGGGCUGACACUGACGCUCAUGCACGAAAGCGUGGGGAGCAAACAGG